AUAGAGGUUGGGAGUGGGGACAGAAAUGAAAUUUACACAAAAUUUAUUUCUGUUCCCACUCCCAUCAAUUCUAU
rnacentral:misc_RNA from 1 species